AUUGAACGCUGGCGGCAGGCCUAACACAUGCAAGUCGAGCGGAUGAAGGGAGCUUGCUCCUGGAUUCACCGGCGGACGGGUGAGUAAUGCCUAGGAAUCUGCCUGGUAGUGGGGGAUAGCGUCCGGAAACGGGCGCUAAUACCGCAUACGUCCUGAGGGAGGAAGUGGGGGAUCUUCGGACCUCACGCUAUCAGAUGAGCCUAGGUCGGAUUAGCUAGUUGGUGGGGUAAAGGCCUACCAAGGCGACGAUCCGUAACUGGUCUGAGAGGAUGAUCAGUCACACUGGAACUGAGACACGGUCCAGACUCCUACGGGAGGCAGCAGUGGGGAAUAUUGGACAAUGGGCGAAAGCCUGAUCCAGCCAUGCCGCGUGUGUGAAGAAGGUCUUCGGAUUGUAAAGCACUUUAAGUUGGGAGGAAGGGCAGUAAGUUAAUACCUUGCUGUUUUGACGUUACCAACAGAAUAAGCACCGGCUAACUUCGUG
rnacentral:rRNA from 1 species